GCAGGCUACACGAAUCGCCUGAAUGUCUACUGCAUGGAAUAAUGGAAUAGGACCUCGGUUCUAUUUUGUCGGUUUUCUCUCGGAACCCGAGGUAAUGACUAAUAGAAACAGGCGGGGGCAUUCGUAUUGCGACGCUAGAGGUGAAAUUCUUGGACCGUCGCAAGACGAACUACUGCGAAAGCAUUUGCCAAGGAUGUUUUCAUUAAUCAAGAACGAAAGUUAGAGGUUCGAAGGCGAUCAGAUACCGCCCUAGUUCUAACCAUAAACGAUGCUGACUAGCGAUCCGCCGGCGUUAUUCCCAUCGACCCGGNNNNNNNNNNNNNNNNNNNNNNNNACACUGACGACAUGGUUCUACAAUGGUUGCAAAGCUGAAACUUAAAGGAAUUGACGGAAGGGCACCACCAGGAGUGGAGCCUGCGGCUUAAUUUGACUCAACACGGGGAACCUCACCAGGCCCGGACACCGGAAGGAUUGACAGAUUGAGAGCUCUUUCUCGAUUCGGUGGGUGGUGGUGCAUGGCCGUUCUUAGUUGGUGGAGCGAUUUGUCUGGUUAAUUCCGAUAACGAACGAGACUCUGGCCUAUUAACUAGUCGACGGAUCUCCAAAAUUUGGUGUCCAGUUCGCAUCUUCUUCUU
rnacentral:rRNA from 1 species